rnacentral:rRNA from 1 species
GAUGAACGCUGGCGGAGUGCCUAACACAUGCAAGUCGAGCGGCAGCACGAAGAGUUUACUCUUUGGUGGCGAGCGGCGGACGGCUGAGUAACGCGUGGGAACGUGCCCCAAAGUGAGGAAUAAGCUCAAGAAAUUGAGUCUAAUACCGCAUAUGAUCUUCGGAUUAAAGUAUUUAUACGCUUUGGGAGCGGCCCGCGUCCGAUUAGGUAGUUGGUGAGGUAAAGGCUCACCAAGCCCACGAUCGGUAACUGGUCUGAGAGGAUGAUCAGUCAGACUG